UUGGGGAGACCUAUAACACAGAACCACAUGAGACCAGAACACUACAAAUAUCACAUUACAUAGUUAAGAAAUAAUAACCAAAACAUAUAAUCCAUAACAAACAAUAACAUGCAAAAAAUGGUCGUUCACGAAGUUUGAAUACGAACAUAAGACAAAACUAGUAUCAUAAGAUUUCAGGUCACACGCAACUUAACUAAUCUAACACGCAACCCAACUCGCCCUUGAAACACACCUAUUAUUUUGCAUCCGUGUGGAGAUUGGAGAACUGUCAGUCACCGACACCAUUCUGACACACAACGCAGCUAACGUUAAACCGAAGCCUGUGCCAAAGACCUGUACAUGGAACAAUUUCAUCAGGUGACCAAAUCUGCUUCGUUGCUGACCGGAUGCAUUUCACGCGCGCAUUGAACAACACGCGCAACUCCAAUAAUGCUGACGCAUCUGGGAACCAGGGUUAAGGUUGUUUUAUGAAUUAGGUUUAGAUAUGGCUUUGAUUCAGUUAGUUCAGUUAGUAUUAAUUUGGACUUGACAGAGAAUAGUCAAUUAAAAUAUAGAUCAUUAAAACUUAAAAGCUUAACUUGUGCUUUCCUCUGAAAUUACAACCCUAAGGACCUGAGGAUGUCCAGGCGUCCGCAACAGUCGAUCGUUCAUUAUUUCGUUUUUAGGGCCUUUUUUGUGUGUAUUAUGAAGGAGCUCUUCCAGAUAAAAGAAAACAGCGAGUUACUUAAGGACGUGUUGAAAAGAACACAUAACGGGUGUGCUAAAUACGCAGCACAUUUCUUUAAAAUGGAUGAUGAUACACUGUCGGGACCAGGACUAAAACAUUCGUCAAGUUGUAGGAUACUAUUAAGGACAGUAUCUUCACUAAUAACGAAAUUGAUAGAAUUGAAGUGGGGAAAAUUUAUAACAGUGGUAGAUAUGUUGGGAAAACUAAUAGUAUUAUAAUCUACAAAAGCAUCUUUGAAGAAGUUUGCAAACAUGUUCGCAAUUAUUCUCGGCUCAUUACUAUUUGAUGUCGAAUAAAUCAUUAAGUUAGUUCAGUUACGAUUAUCUAUCUUCUAUCUAACUAUCAGGAUUAGUUUUAAUGUUUAAUUCAAUUUUCUGAAUGUAGUCAUCAUACAUAUAGGAUGUUAGAGUAGUCAGUGAAAAGUUGUUUUGUUAUAAUGAAUGUCCUGUAAUCAUCAUCAGUUAUUGUUUCAUUGUACUUUAUCCAAACUUUAUUUCUUUUGUUUUUUAAAUCUUGUAAACUUAAAGAAAAAAUCAGACAGCUUUCCAGUUAACUUCACUUACAAGAACCUUUCGUUAGAUAAAACUGUUGAUAUCUCCAACGCUUUUGCAACAAAUUUCCGUGAGUCAUUUGUUAAGAAGUUGAUGAAGUAUAUUUAACCUUCACUCUUUUUCGCAAACUAGCUGUAGUCAAAUCCCUGUGCUACAGAGUACGGUCCUUGAUUUUUUAUCCGCGUUGAAUGAUGACUCUUCAGCCGGUUCCGGUGGUAUUCCCCCGAUAAAAAGUGCCGUAAUGCCUUAGUUGAACCUCUAACGUUCUUAUUCAAUCUUUUUCUUAAAACAGGCAAAUUUUUCAGUACAUGGAAGAAGUCAUUUCUAACACCAAUUUUCAAGAAAGGUAGCAAGGUGGAUAUAGCAAACUACAGGCCCAUUGCAAAGCUUUCUUCCAUUCCUAAUAUUGUUUUUUUUUUUCUUUAAGAAAACGAAACAACUUUUUUAAGAAAUCUCUUUGUUAAUAUAAACUUUUCUUUUAUUUUUAUUUUUGUCUAGAGCACUAAAAAAUUCAGUGUAGCUUUCUCUCUUCCUAUCCGUCUUCUCUCGUUGAGCUGCAAAUAUGAUUUUGUUUAAGCACGUUAAUUAGUGGAUGCGUCCAGCGAAAAAUCCUGUGUUUCUCUGCAAAUUUCACAGCUGGUCUCUCCAUGACACAGUAAAGAGUCUUCACGAUACCGCUGCGAUGAUCCUUCUUUCGGGUUAGUUAUUUCUUGCCAAGUCCUUAUCGACGACUAUCACAAUAUCAUCUACUUGCAAUGGUAACACUGGUAAAAAACCAUUUGGAGUGGAGUGUGAGUUCGGGCAAGUAUCUUUCAACAAAAAUCUUCCAGAAUUGGUUAUUAAAACGUUCUUUCUGUUUAUAAUUGGUCCUUAGAAUCUUUGGCUCAUGUUCCGGAUUCCCUAUAGGUUUGUUGUCACCCGAAAGCAGUCCAAAAAAUGAUUGGGUGUCAAUACGUCGUCUUGUUCGUUGUCCAGAGGCACAUACGUCAGUGGUCUGGAAUUAAUUAUGUUCUCUACCGAUAUUGAACAGCUUCUUAGCAGUUGCUCUGAAGGAGUACUCUCUGGUAAUGAGGCAUAUAACGUUUUCUUGAAGCACCUCACCAUCCUUUCGCAGGCUCCACACAUGUGUGGUGAUGCAGGCGGGUUAAAGUUCCAUCUUAAUUUCGUUUUGACGAAUCGCCUAGCCAACACUUCGGGGUCAACUGCCUUUAGUUCUUCUCUCAGCUCCAAUGAAGUUUGUUCCUCUGUCACCGAAUAUUUGAGCAAGGAAGCCACGUCUGCAUAUAAAAACGGUGAAACACAAUAUAAAUGUAUCUGAAUCCAUUUUGCUUGCAAUUUCAAUGUGCACGGCACGAGUGGUCAUGCACGUAAAGAGUAAGCCCCAUCUCUUCUCAGUACGUCUUCAAAUUUUCACCAUCAUUGGUCUAAAAUAAUCUACUCCCACGUAAGUAAAAGGAGCGGUAUAAGCAUAUAAGCCUAGCAGCAGGAAGCGGUGCCAUUUGUGUAGGAAUUGGUUUUGCUUUUCGCAUUUUGCACAAUUGGCAUUCACUUAUUCUUAAUUUUACCUCAUAUCGAAGUUAAGGUAUUCUAUAUUAUAUAUAUAUUUAUAUAUAAUAUAUAUUAUAUUGUUUCCGAUUGCGAUAAGUUCAUGUUGUCUACUUCGAGAUGUUGAUAGAAGCUUUGUGGCGUUUUAUUUUUCUUUUGAACUGGCGGAGUUGUCACGCUUUCUUUCGGAAUCCAAGUAGACGUCGUAGUCAUGCUGCAUUCAUCGGUUGCGAUUUCGUAUACCCAUUCAGAUAAUGUAUGCAAACUGUCUGGAUCACUUGAAUAACGCUUACUCUGUGCCCAGUUAACUAACCUUGUUGGAGGUUAUCUGUCUUGCAACUCUUUAAUAAGCAUGGGGUUACUAAUAUAAUCCUCCAUCCCAGCUUGAGAUAAAGUAGAGCAAAUAUUCUUGACACCCAUGGCAAAGGCGACGAAACUUUCCAAUUUCUCAAUCUUAGGAGCGGACAUUUUACGCAAACGCUGUAUCUGCUGAUCCAAGACCAACUCAGGUCUACCAAAUAACAUUUGCAAUGUGUCUAUGAUGUCUUCCACGCAACCUGGGAUUCUGAUUUGAUCCUCCACCAUUGUACGUGCCGUUCCCUGGAUACUAUGCUAGAGUCGUAUCAGAUUUUCAUAAUUCUAAAAUCCACAGGCUAUUGUAGUUUGCUUAUAGCUGUUUAUAAAAAUUGGCCAUUCACUUGGAUUGCCUGUGAACACUAGAAGGUUCUUGGGCAACGCUUGCCUAGCUGCUAAUUGCCGUGACGAAAUCUCACCUUCAUGCAAUUCUUGAAAUGGCAUUGUUCGUUUACGUGGAACCUGAUGAGUAAUCAAAUAAGUACUGACAAUUUGUGUCGGUCGUUGCACCUCAUCAGUCUCACUCUGCUUUUUUGUUCUUUAUGAAUUUCUGUAUUGGCCUUGCUAUGCACAGAACUACGUUCCUUUAAAGAGCAGUUGCUGAGUUGUUCCAUUAGCUCUUGUUGUUUUUGCAGGAUAACUUGUUAUCUUUUCAGGAUGUCUUGCUCAUCUUGCAUUAGCUUCAGUUGUUCACGCAUAGUACGUAGAGAUGAAGUCGACAAAGAAUCGCUUCGCUGAAGACUCGUUGAUUUCACCGGUGGUACAUUAGUUUUAGUUUUAGUUUUAGUUUUAUUUCAUCAAUCAGAUUACAAUCUUUAUAGACUAGAUACUAAAUAAUACAAUUGUUGGGGGCUGUAUGCUUAUAUAAAUAAAUAAAUUAAAUAAAUAUUACAAUAAGUUAUACAUUA